rnacentral:rRNA from 1 species
GACGAACGCUGGCGGCGUGCUUAACACAUGCAAGUCGAACGGAAAGGCCCUUCGGGGUACUCGAGUGGCGAACGGGUGAGUAACACGUGGGUGAUCUGCCCUGCACUUUGGGAUAAGCCUGGGAAACUGGGUCUAAUACCGGAUAGGACCACGGCAUUCAUGUGCUGUGGUGGAAAGCUUUUGCGGUGUGGGAUGGGCCCGCGGCCUAUCAGCUUGUUGGUGGGGUAAUGGCCUACCAAGGCGACGACGGGUAGCCGGCCUGAGAGGGUGACCGGCCACACUGGGACUGAGAUACGGCCCAGACUCCUACGGGAGGCAGCAGUGGGGAAUAUUGCACAAUGGGCGCAAGCCUGAUGCAGCGACGCCGCGUGAGGGAUGACGGCCUUCGGGUUGUAAACCUCUUUCGCCAGGGACGAAGCGCAAGUGACGGUACCUGGAGAAGAAGAACCGGCCAACUACGUG